CAGGGGUCGCCCCCGCUCAGUUAGCCUGCACCGGGCAGGUCUCGAUCCCACGGAUCCCACGCCUGCCUGCUCCACCAGAGCGGGCGUGCCCGGCGGCGAGCUUGGUUCCGGGCCAACAAACUUCGUCGGGACCCCGCAGCGCCCGAGCCGGCUGCGCGCGCCGCCUGCUUCCCACGGCCGCUGUGGCAGUGGCGGCGCCAGCGCGCUGAAGGCGGGGGCGGCCGGGUUCCCGCGGCCGAGGAGGGGGCCGCGUCGGGCGAGCGCCCGGCGCGGGACGUUCCCGCGGAGACGGCGAGGACGGCUGGGACGGCGGCGGCGCUCUGUCGGGCCGCGCUGCGCAUGCUGCAGGGUAUUUGAUGUCGGGUUUCACCUGCGUCAGCAUUGCUCCCUAGUUGUGCCUUACCAGUGCACAGAGCCCGAGAACCCACCUGGGACGGAAGUGGAACGCAGAAAGCCUGCAUUAUGCGAGCAUGCGAACGCGAAGUCCAGUGUAGGUAGCCUGGAAAAGCGGCCGUGUCUGCCAGUCGUUUUCUGGCCCCGUCUCUGAGCUACCUACGGGCAUGCGGAAUUGCAGGUGUGCGUUAUCCAACCCGCCGAAACCAACAGACAUGUGUGGCACGGUUGUUUUUUUUUUUCUUUUUUGAAAUAUGUUCUUGAAAAGCAGAUGCACGCCAAGUGAGCAGACUCGCGAG